rnacentral:rRNA from 13 species
GAGCUGGGUUCAGAACGUCGUGAGACAGUUCGGUCCAUAUCCGGUGUAGGCGUUAGAAUAUUGAGAGGAUCUUUCUUUAGUACGAGAGGACCGAGAAGGACGUACCGCUAGUGUACCAGUUAUCAUGCCAAUGGUAAACGCUGGGUAGCUAUGUACGGAAAGGAUAACCACUGAAAGCAUCUAAGUGGGAAGCCCACCUCAAGAUGAGUACUCUUACCAUCUAAGAAUGGUUAAGGUCACGGCAAGACGAGCCGUUUGAUAGGUAUCAAGUGUACGUGCAGUAAUGCAUUUAGCUGAGAUAUACUAAUAGACCGA